AGUGAACGCUGGCGGUAGGCCUAACACAUGCAAGUCGAACGGCAGCACAGUAAGAGUUUGCUCCUACGGGUGGCGAGUGGCGGACGGGUGAGGAAUACAUCGGAAUCUACUUUUUCGUGGGUGAUAACGUAGGGAAACUUACGCUAAUACCGCAUACGACUUACGGGUGAAAGCAGGGGUUCUUCGGACCUUGCGCGAUUGAAUGAGCCGAUGUCGGAUUAGCUAGUUGGCGGGGUAAAGGCCCACCAAGGCGACGAUCCGUAGCUGGUCUGAGAGGAUGAUCAGCCACACUGGGACUGAGACACGGUCCAGACUCCUACGGGAGGCAGCAGUGGGGAAUAUUGGACAAUGGGCGCAAGCCUGAUCCAGCCAUACCGCGUGGGUGAAGAAGGCCUUCUGGUUGUAAAGCCCUUUUGUUGGGAAAGAAAAGCAGCAGGUUAAUACCCCGCUGUUCUGACGGUACCCAAAGAAUAAGCACCGGCUAACUUCGUG
rnacentral:rRNA from 1 species